AGUGUAGAUUCAGAGUUUGAUCCUGGCUCAGGAUUAACGCUGGCGGUACGUCUAAUACAUGCAAGUCGAACGGAAAUUUAAAUUAAUUUCGGUUAAUUUAAAUUUUUUAGUUGGCGAACGGGUGAGUAACACGUAGGUAAUCUGCCUUUAAGUUGGGGAUAACUUUCGGAAACGAAUGCUAAUACCGAAUAAUCUGUGAAAGAGGCAUCUUUUUCAUUGUAAAGGUCCGUUUGGAUCGCUUAAAGAGGAGCCUGCGGUGCAUUAGUUAGUUGGCGGGGUAAUAGCCCACCAAGACAAUGAUGCAUAGCUGGACUGAGAGGUUGAACAGCCACAUUGGGACUGAGAACGGCCCAA
rnacentral:rRNA from 1 species